AUUUGGAGAGUUUGAUCCUGGCUCAGGACGAACGCUGGCGGCGUGCCUAAUACAUGCAAGUCGAGCGGAGCAGGAAUGG
rnacentral:rRNA from 1 species